rnacentral:rRNA from 1 species
UACGUAGGUGGCAAGCGUUGUCCGGAAUUACUGGGCGUAAAGCGCACGUAGGCGGUUUUUUAAGUCAGAUGUGAAAGCCCCGGGCUCAACCUGGGAAUUGCAUUUGAAACUGGGGAACUAGAGUGUGUGAGAGGGGGGUAGAAUUCCAAGUGUAGCGGUGAAAUGCGUAGAGAUUUGGAGGAACACCGAUGGCGAAGGCAGCCCCCUGGGUCAAGAUUGACGCUCAUGCACGAAAGCGUGGGGAGCAAACAGG